ACACCAGAGCCUACCAGCAGCUACUGCUGGUCAUGCUGCUAUGAGAACUGCCUUCACAGAGAGCCUAAAAAUCAGGCAGGAAAUCAGAUACAAAGAAGAACAUGGGGUAACAAGACAGUGACACUUUCCUGUAAGAAGACCAUAAAUCUUUAUACAAGGGGGCGGACUGGAGAACGUCAGGGGUUUCCAUGUGUGAGUGUUUAAAAUAAAACCUUAUUCAUGCUGGAGUGGGGAAGAAAAGAACUGGCAAGCUGGGAACACAAAAAGAGAAAAGGAGGAACCUUAAAAUAUGAGGAUUGACUGGGUCUUGAGCUCUGAAGGACAAAAAAAGUUAGAGGGUGGUUUUUUCCCUGGUUUCACUCCUAAAUCGCCAUUUAUACCCUGACAUCAGCUGACAUCAGUGGAAAUGUCAAAAAAUCUUCCUUUUGCAAGAUUUCAGAAACAAUGCAGAUAUAGAGAAAAUAAAAAUAAGGAGGGAGGAGGGCGGAUGCCCCGGCGGUCUCUCGGCGGGGACAUGCUGCCAUCCAGCGGCUGCGGCCACGCGGCCCCGAGGAUGUGGAUGUCCCGGAGCACCGCGCCCCGCGCUGCCCCCUGGGGGCGGAGGAUGCUUCGAGGAGUGGUGUUGGGGUCCGACGCCCCCGGCUGAUCCAGCCCCCCUGCCCCACUGCUCUUGUAGCCCUUCAGCAAAAAUGUUCAUGGAAGAGAGAGUCACUUACAGCCAUUCAUGCAAUUAUGGUGGCUUGGAGGAAACAGAUGAUUUGACAUGGAGUAGAUUUGCAGCCAAGACCCCAUUGCAAGCAGGACCUGAGUUCUUUGGAAGAGUCAUGAGCUGGGGGUGAUUGCCCUGUGAAGAGAGUAAAGAGUUCCCCAGCAAUCUGCAUUCAACCUUUGAAGUACUUUGGAAGCUGUGUAUAGAAGAUACCAGGGCAAUUUUGUGAACUGGAAAUGUAAAUUAGCAGAGCCGAACCUUCCUUAUUAAUGCUUCAAAAGAC